AUAUAGCUAAUGCUUUACGAUUGUGCAUUCAUGUAGUAAUGCAUUUAAAAAUGAGCCUAAAUUGCAAAUGUACUGAUGUAAGCUUGCAUUGCAUUUAGAGAAAUUAAAAUCUGCUUGUUAGCCUCUAAUGUCUUGUAGGAUUUAGAAGUAUGUCUAAGCUACUUGAAUCAUUGGCCUUAAUCAAUCUAGUAAGCAUAAGCAUGAAUUGAGUCACGCUUGUUGCCUUGAUUGCAAAAAGAAUCAUCUAGUCUUGUGUUCAUUUGGAUUGAGUCUUUUUCAUUCAUAUAGUUAGUGUGUAACCUAAUGCAUUCAUCUAUUGCUGCAUUUAAAAAAAAAAAAAAGGGAUCAGUAGAUUGUUGAAAGCAUACAUUGUCUUUGCAUAUUCUUGUUUUGAUUGUCUAGCUUGUUUCAAGUAUCAUAUAUUAUUGUGGCAUUGGUGAUCAAACAGGAUGGAUGAUCUUGGUUUGAUCCCAAUGGGAUGAUCUGAUCUUGCAUUGAGUUGUGGUGGUGUUAGGUACACAAGGGAAGUGAUACAUGUAACUCGCCAUCAACCAAGAAUGUAGAGACAAAGGUCUUGGGCCAUUGCAUAAUACCAUUGGACAUAUCUAGUCCUUAGUCUACAGGAAGUGUAGCAUGGGUCAUUAUGCAAUGAGAAAUGUGUCUUGUGAGACUCUCUAU
rnacentral:lncRNA from 1 species